AUUAGCACUAUCUUAGAGGAUUAAGCAAAUACAUCGAUAGAGAACUGAUGCUGCUGGAAAUUCAGUGAUGUUAAUGCCCAAGGUUGCUAAGUGUUAAAAUAUAAAUAAGUAAAGUGGUUGUUGAUAUUGAUAUGUCAGCAACAAUACAGGUGGUACCACGGUGAAAAUCGUCCUAAUU
rnacentral:misc_RNA from 1 species